GGUAUGCUUUAAAACACUUGAAGUUGGAUAAAUGAAAGAAAUACUGAGUAUCGCUUUCCUUGCAGACAGUUCCUUUAAAGGAGAAUCUACUUCGCCCCCACCUAGUGAACAUCGUAAAAGUAAUCAUCACUCCGGGCCAGGUUCACAUACUAAAACACAAUGUUCUACUUCUGAUGGCUAUAAAGGAGAAUUUGUGGGAGCCAUUGUAGAAAUUUUUUUAGACUUAGUGUUGGCGUGUUCUAUUCUGCUAGUUGCUCUUGUUUUUGUAUCUGAAAAAUAAAAGGGAAGGAAAAAGGUCCAAGAACUUAUAAUGGAAGCCUUCCUCCUGGAGGAAUCGUUAACGUAACUCCUCAGAUGCAGGAGCAAAGGGUGAAAAGUGCUUAUGUUAUUACAGAUCUUAAACCCCGUCCUCCUUCAGAAAACGUGACAAUGGAUAGGAUGCCUGCAAAAAGUGGAUCUGUAAGGCAGAUGAGGUCUCCAAUAACUUCCCUGUCGUACACGGUUACUUCCCUCUAGAGUGCAACUAAUAGCUUCAGCCAAGAGUUUAUUAUCCGUGAAGGUUCUCUUGGUCGAGUUUACCGGGCUGAAUUUCCAAAUGGGAAGGUAACCUUUUGAUUUUGCAUCUGUUAUCACAUUCAUAC